AGAGUUUGAUCCUGGCUCAGAAUGAACGCUGGCGGCGUGCUUAACACAUGCAAGUCGAACGAGAAAGUGGGCUUCGGUCCAUGAGUAGAGUGGCGCACGGGUGAGUAACACGUGGGUAAUCUACCCCUCAAUUUGGGAUAACAUUGCGAAAGUGAUGCUAAUACCGAAUAACAUCCAUAAAGCUUUGGUUUAAUGGAUCAAAGGUGGCCAAUCCUUGGAAGCUACUGUUGGGGGAUGAGCCCGCGUACCAUUAGCUAGUUGGUAGGGUAAUGGCCUACCAAGGCGACGAUGGUUAGCUGGUCUGAGAGGAUGAUCAGCCACACUGGAACUGACACACGGUCCAGACUCCUACGGGAGGCAGCAGUGAGGAAUUUUGCGCAAUGGGGGCAACCCUGACGCAGCAACGCCGCGUGAGUGAUGAAGGCCYUUGGGUCGUAAAACUCUGUCAGCAGGAAAGAAGUUACAUGUGGUUAAUACCCAUGUGUAUUGACGGUACCUGCAAAGGAAGCACCGGCUAACUCCGUGCCAGCAGCCGCGGUAACACGGAGGGUGCAAGCGUUAUUCGGAWUUAUUGGGCGUAAAGCGCGUGUAGGCGGUUUKWUAAGUYUGRUGUGAAAGCCCUGGGCUCAACCYGGGAAGUGCAUUGGAUACUGKMARACUUGARUACGGGAGAGGRYAGUGGAAUUYCKAGUGUAGGRGUGAAAUCCGUAGAUAUUMGRAGGAACACCGGUGGCGAAGGCGGCURYCUGGACCGAUAYUGACGCUGAGACGCGAAAGCGUGGGUAGCAAACAGGAUUAGAUACCCUGGUAGUCC
rnacentral:rRNA from 1 species